CAAGUCGAACGGCAGCACAGCAGUAGCAAUACUGUGGGUGGCGAGUGGCGGACGGGUGAGGAAUACAUGGGAAUCUGCCCUGUCGUGGGGGAUAACGUAGGGAAACUUACGCUAAUACCGCAUACGACCGGAAGGUGAAAGCGGCGGACCGCAAGGCGUCGCGCGACUGGAUGAGCCCAUGUCGGAUUAGCUAGUUGGCGGGGUAAAGGCCCACCAAGGCGACGAUCCGUAGCUGGUCUGAGAGGAUGAUCAGCCACACUGGAACUGAGACACGGUCCAGACUCCUACGGGAGGCAGCAGUGGGGAAUAUUGGACAAUGGGCGCAAGCCUGAUCCAGCCAUGCCGCGUGAGUGAAGAAGGCCUUCGGGUUGUAAAGCUCUUUUGUCCGGAAAGAAAAGCCUUCGGUUAAUACCCGGGGGUUCUGACGGUACCGGAAGAAUAAGCACCGGCUAACUUCGUGCCAGCAGCCGCGGUAAUACGAAGGGUGCAAGCGUUACUCGGAAUUACUGGGCGUAAAGCGUGCGUAGGUGGUUCGUUAAGUCUGAUGUGAAAGCCCUGGGCUCAACCUGGGAAUGACAUUGGAAACUGGCGAUCUAGAGUGCGGUAGAGGGUAGUGGAAUUCCCGGUGUAGCAGUGAAAUGCGUAGAGAUCGGGAGGAACAUCUGUGGCGAAGGCGACUGCCUGGACCAGCACUGACACUGAGGCACGAAAGCGUGGGGAGCAAACAGGAUUAGAUACCCUGGUAGUCCACGCCCUAAACGAUGCGAACUGGAUGUUGGGUGCAACUAGGCACUCAGUAUCGAAGCUAACGCGUUAAGUUCGCCGCCUGGGGAGUACGGUCGCAAGACU
rnacentral:rRNA from 1 species